rnacentral:rRNA from 1 species
AGCAGCCGCGGUAAUUCCAGCUCCAAUAGCGUAUAUUAAAGUUGCUGCAGUUAAAAAGCUCGUAGUUGAAUUUCGGGACCGAUAUAUCGGUCGUGCCUCGGUACGUACUGGUAUUUUCGGUUUCUACCUUCUGACGAACCUUGAUGUCAUUAAUUUGGUGUCUUGGGGAAUCAGGACUGUUACUUUGAAAAAAUUAGAGUGUUUAAAGCAGGCUCACGCUUGAAUACAUUAGCAUGGAAUAAUGAAAUAGGACGUUUGAUUCUAUUUUGUUGGUUUCUAGGAUCGACGUAAUGAUUAAUAGGGAUAGUUGGGGGCAUUAGUAUUCAAUUGUCAGAGGUGAAAUUCUCGGAUUUAUUGAAGACUAACUACUGCGAAAGCAUUUUGCCAAGGAUGUUUUCAUUAAUCAAGAACGAAAGUUAGGGGAUCGAAGACGAUCAGAUACCGUCGUAGUCUUAACCAUAAACUAUGCCGACUAGGGAUCGGAUGAUGUUAAUUUUUUAAUGACUCAUUCGGCGCCUUA